rnacentral:tRNA from 1 species
GUGCUCGUGGCGCAAUGGCAGACGCGCUGGAUUUAGGAUCCAGUGUUGGAAAACAUGUGGGUUCAAAUCCCACCGAGCGCA